rnacentral:snRNA from 1 species
CGUAUAAAUUAUUACUUUGAC